UACGUAGGGUGCAAGCGUUAAUCGGAAUUACUGGGCGUAAAGCGUGCGCAGGCGGAUUGUUAAGCAAGAUGUGAAAUCCCCGGGCUUAACCUGGGAAUUGCAUUUUGAACUGGCAGUCUAGAGUGUGUCAGAGGGGGGUGGAAUUCCACGUGUAGCAGUGAAAUGCGUAGAUAUGUGGAGGAACACCGAUGGCGAAGGCAGCCCCCUGGGAUAACACUGACGCUCAUGCACGAAAGCGUGGGGAGCAAACAGG
rnacentral:rRNA from 1 species